rnacentral:rRNA from 1 species
GAUUUCUGGCUUAAUAGAGCCGAUCCGCUAUCGUUAGAUAGUGAGUGUUGGAUUCUAUUUGCCAUCCUUCUGGAAAACAUUCCUACCCUUUACUGGGCCGGGUUUGCAAUCCAGAACUUUUACUUUGAAAAAAUUAGAGUGUUCAAAGCAGGCUUGCGCUGUGAAUACAUUAGCAUGGAAUAAUAAUUUAGGACUUUGGUUCUAUUUUGUUGGUUUCUAGGACUGAAGUAAUGAUUGAUAGGGAUAGUUGGGGGUGCUAGUAUUUACCGGCCAGAGGUGAAAUUCUUGGAUUCGGUAAAGACUAACUUAUGCGAAAGCAUU